rnacentral:lncRNA from 10 species
GCUGCGCAGUGGGAGUUGUAGCCAUGGGAACAACCUAGGGACCUGGCAAGGAAAGACUAGGCCAGACCUUAGCACCCCCUGUCAGGGACUUCCUGCUGGUUAAUCCUGCUUCCUCUGCCAGCAGGAAGUCAGCUAGCAAAGAAGCCCCAAUGAUAUAGUCUACAGCAGGCAGCCUGCCAGGGUGCAGAGCAGGGUAGAAAAUGGAUCGGAAGGGCAAAGGUGAGGUAGAGUUGGGAGACUUACCUGAGGUCACAUAGUCAGCUUCACCUGAUUGUCAGGAAAGUAACCCUGUGAACCCUAGCUGGGGAGAAGAACCUAAAGGCAAGAGAGAGAACCGUUCUAUAGGACCCGGGAGGAUUUGCCAUCAUCUGAAGGAAGGUAGGGUUCCAUACAGUCUCUGGAAGAUGAGGUAAGAAUAGUCAGUGAUCCAGUUUGAUUAUGUAACCACAUGGAGCAAGAGCUCUAAAUUUACCAUUGAAAAUAUCUUCCCAACAAUGUCAGGCAGAAAAUUGUUAGGCCAGCCGGGAAAGGCUCAGGUCUGGGAAGAGUCAUUCCAAACCCAGAAAAACAAUGACUCAGAAGAAAUGAUCUUCCAUUUCCUAAUUCUUAAUUCUUAAUACCAAAUAAAAUCCUUCUUUUUGCAAGCUAGAGAUUCCCAGCUAAUCAUGCUGUGUUUUGCUCUGAUUAACCUUUGAUAUAGGCAUUUCCUCUUUUUUUCUUUUUUUUUUUUUUUUUUUUGGUUGUUUGAUGCCAAGCUCUCCUUAAAGGUCAGUGAGCAUCAUACCUAAUCUGGCUUCUAAUUACAUUUGUAAACAUUUCAGAAUGAAUAAAUGCCAACAUAAUUAACCACCCGGCAUAUUAUCUGCUCUCUCCCUUUGCCCAGAGUACAGAUAUCCAGCAAAGGAGCAGCCCAGGCUCCUCUGACACUCAUAUUUGUGAUAUGGAAAUUAUUUGAUUGAGUCUAUUUAAAUCAGAGUUUCCUAAGAUUCAUUGUCAGGCCACUACUAGGCACAAAGAUCACCUGAGGAUCAUAGUAAAAAUACAGAUUCCCGAGCACUUUGGGAGGUCGAGGCGGGCAAAUCACGAG